rnacentral:rRNA from 1 species
AUUGAACGCUGGCGGAAUGCUUUACACAUGCAAGUCGAACGGCAGCACGGACUUCGGUCUGGUGGCGAGUGGCGAACGGGUGAGUAAUGUAUCGGAACGUGCCCAGUCGUGGGGGAUAACGUAGUGAAAAUUACGCUAAUACCGCAUACGAUCUAUGGAUGAAAGCGGGGGAUCGCAAGACCUCGCGCGCUUGGAGGGGCCGAUAUCAGAUUAGGUAGUGGGUGGGGUAAAGGACCACCAAGCCAACGAUCUGUAGCUGGUCUGAGAGGACGACCAGCCACACUGGAACUGAGACACGGUCCAGACUCCUACGGGAGGCAGCAGUGGGGAAUUUUGGACAAUGGGCGAAAGCCUGAUCCAGCCAUUCCGCGCGCAGGAUGAAGGCCCUCGGGUUGUAAACUGCUUUUGUACAGAACGAAAAGGUUUCUACUAAUACUAGGAGCUCAUGACGGUACUGUAAGAAUAAGCACCGGCUAACUACGUGCCAGCAGCCGCAGUAA